rnacentral:rRNA from 1 species
GGCUUAGAGUUUGAUCAUGGCUCAGGACGAACGCUGGCGGCGUGCUUAACACAUGCAAGUCGAACGGGGUGUUUAUUUCGGUAAACACCAAGUGGCGAACGGGUGAGUAACGCGUAAGCAAUCUACCUUCAAGAUGGGGACAACACUUCGAAAGGGGUGCUAAUACCGAAUGAAUGAGAGAUGACCGCAUGGAUAUUUCUCUAAAGGAGGCCUCUGAAAAUGCUUCCGCUUGAAGAUGAGCUUGCGUCUGAUUAGCUAGUUGGUGAGGGUAAAGGCCCACCAAGGCGACGAUCAGUAGCCGGUCUGAGAGGAUGAACGGCCACAUUGGGACUGAGACACGGCCCAGACUCCUACGGGAGGCAGCAGUGGGGAAUCUUCCGCAAUGGGCGAAAGCCUGACGGAGCAACGCCGCGUGAACGAAGAAGGUCUUAGGAUCGUAAAGUUCUGUUGUUAGGGGCGAAGGGUAGCAUUUUGAAUAAGGGUGCUAUUUGACGGUACUUAACGAGGAAGCCACGGCUAACUACGUGCCAGCAGCCGCGGUAAUACGUAGGCGGCAAGCGUUGUCCGGAAUUAUUGGGCGUAAAGGGAGCGCAGGCGGGAAGUUAAGCGGACUUUAAAAGUGCGGGGCUCAACCCCGAGAGGGGGUCCGAACUGACUUUCUUGAGUGCAGGAGAGGGAAGCGGAAUUCCUAGUGUAGCGGUGAAAUGCGUAGAUAUUAGGAAGAACACCAGUGGCGAACGCGGCUUUCUGGACUGUAACUGACGCUGAGCUCGAAAGCUAGGGUAGCGAACGGGAUUAGAUACCCCGGUAGUCCUAGCGUAAACGAUGGAUACUAGUGUGGGAGUAUCGACCCUUCGUGCNAGUACGC